CUCCACCGGAAAAAGAAGAGUGGCGAACGGGUGAGUAACACGUGGGUAACCUGCCCAUCAGAAGGGGAUACACUUGGAAACAGGUGCUAAUACCGUAUAACAAUCAAAACCGCAUGGUUUUGAUUUGAAAGGCGCUUUCGGGUGUCGCUGAUGGAUGGACCCGCGGUGCAUUAGCUAGUUGGUGAGGUAACGGCUCACCAAGGCCACGAUGCAUAGCCGACCUGAGAGGGUGAUCGGCCACAUUGGGACUGAGACACGGCAAACUCCUACGGGAGGCAGCAGUAGGGAAUCUUCGGCAAUGGACGAAAGUCUGACCGAGCAACGCCGCGUGAGUGAAGAAGGUUUUCG
rnacentral:rRNA from 1 species